CCUACGGGAGACAGCAGUGAGGAAUAUUGGUCAAUGGACGGAAGUCUGAACCAGCCAAGCCGCGUGAAGGAAGAAGGUUCUAAGAAUUGUAAACUUCUUUUGUAAAGGGACAAACUCAGGUACGAGAGUCUAACCGAGGGUACUUUACGAAAAAGCAUCGGCUAACUCCGUGCCAGCAGCCGCGGUAAUACGGAGGGUGCGUGCGUUAUCCGGAUUUAUUGGGGUUAAAGGGUGCGUAGGCGGGGUGAUAGGUCAGCGGUUAAAGGCCCGGGCUGAACCCCCGACGUGCCUUUGAAACGGUCUGUCUUGAGAGGAGGAGAGGUAAGCGGAAGUCGCUGUGUAGCGGUGAAAUGCUUAGAUAUUACGAAGAACACCGAUUGCGAAGGCAGCUUACCGGCGGCUAUCUGACGCUGAGGCACGAAAGCGUGGGUAUCGAACAGGAUUAGAUACCCGAGUAGUC
rnacentral:rRNA from 1 species